CCUACGGGAGGCAGCAGUGAGGAAUAUUGGUCAAUGGACGGAAGUCUGAACCAGCCACGCCGCGUGCGGGAAGAAGGCACUGUGAGUUGUAAACUGCUUUUGUACAGGGGUAAACCUGAAUACGUGUAUUCAGCUGAAAGUACCGUACGAAUAAGAAUCGGCUAACUCCGUGCCAGCAGCAGCGGUAAUACGGAGGAUCCAAGCGUUAUCCGGAUUUAUUGGGUUUAAAGGGUGCGUAGGCGGAUUGAGAAGUUAGAGGUGAAAAGUAGGGGCUAAACUCGGGAACCGCCUCUGAUAUUGGUGAUCUAGAGUGUAGGAGAGGUAGGCGGAAUGUGUGGUGUAGCGGUGAAAUGCUUAGAGAUCGUGCAGAACACCGAUUGCGAAGGCAGCUUACC
rnacentral:rRNA from 1 species